GAGUUUGAUCCUGGCUCAGGACGAACGCUGGCGGCGUGCCUAACACAUGCAAGUCGAGCGAGUGGAGUUCUUCGGAACAAAGCUAGCGGCGGACGGGUGAGUAACACGUGGGCAACCUGCCUCAUAGAGGGGAAUAGCCUCCCGAAAGGGAGAUUAAUACCGCAUAAGAUUGUAGCUUCGCAUGAAGUAGCAAUUAAAGGAGUAAUCCGCUAUGAGAUGGGCCCGCGGCGCAUUAGCUAGUUGGUGAGGUAACGGCUCACCAAGGCGACGAUGCGUAGCCGACCUGAGAGGGUGAUCGGCCACAUUGGGACUGAGACACGGCCCAGACUCCUACGGGAGGCAGCAGUGGGGAAUAUUGCACAAUGGGGGAAACCCUGAUGCAGCAACGCCGCGUGAGUGAUGACGGCCUUCGGGUUGUAAAGCUCUGUCUUCAGGGACGAUAAUGACGGUACCUGAGGAGGAAGCCACGGCUAACUACGUGCCAGCAGCCGCGGUAAUACGUAGGUGGCGAGCGUUGUCCGGAUUUACUGGGCGUAAAGGGAGCGUAGGCGGACUUUUAAGUGAGAUGUGAAAUACCCGGGCUCAACUUGGGUGCUGCAUUUCAAACUGGAAGUCUAGAGUGCAGGAGAGGAGAAUGGAAUUCCUGGUGUAGCAGUGAAAUGCGUAGAGAUCAGGAGGAACAUCCGUGGCGAAGGCGACUGCCUGGGCCAACACUGACACUG
rnacentral:rRNA from 1 species